rnacentral:tRNA from 1 species
UGGGGUGUCGUCUAAUGGUAGGACACCGGGUUUUGGUCCCGGCAGUCGGGGUUCGACUCCCUGCGCCCCAG